UACAGAGGGUGCGAGCGUUGUCCGGAAUUACUGGGCGUAAAGCGUGCGCAGGCGGCUUCCUAAGUCAGAUGUGAAAUCCCCGGGCUUAACCUGGGAACUGCGUUUGAAACUGGGAGGCUAGAGUGCGGCAGAGGGGGGUGGAAUUCCACGUGUAGCAGUGAAAUGCGUAGAUAUGUGGAGGAACACCGAUGGCGAAGGCAGCCCCCUGGGCCAGCACUGACGCUCAUGCACGAAAGCGUGGGGAGCAAACAGG
rnacentral:rRNA from 1 species